rnacentral:rRNA from 1 species
UACAGAGGGGGCAAGCGUUGUUCGGAAUUACUGGGCGUAAAGGGCGCGUAGGCGGCCUUGUAAGUCAAACGUGAAAUCCCUCGGCUCAACCGGGGAACUGCGUCUGAUACUGGAAGGCUUGAAUCCGGGAGAGGAAUGCGGAAUUCCAGGUGUAGCGGUGAAAUGCGUAGAUAUCGGGAGGAACACCAGUGGCGAAGGCGGCGACCUGGGCCAAAAUUGACGCUGAGGUGCGAAAGCGUGGGGAGCAAACAGG